GACGAACGCUGGCGGCGUGCUUAACACAUGCAAGUCGAACGGAAAGGCCCUGCUUUUGUGGGGUGCUCGAGUGGCGAACGGGUGAGUAACACGUGAGUAACCUGCCCUUGACUUUGGGAUAACUUCAGGAAACUGGGGCUAAUACCGGAUAGGAGCUCCUGCUGCAUGGUGGGGGUUGGAAAGUUUCGGCGGUUGGGGAUGGACUCGCGGCUUAUCAGCUUGUUGGUGGGGUAGUGGCUUACCAAGGCUUUGACGGGUAGCCGGCCUGAGAGGGUGACCGGCCACAUGGGGACUGAGAUACGGACCAGACUCCUACGGGAGGCAGCAGUGGGGAAUAUUGCACAAUGGGCGGGAGCCUGAUGCAGCAACGCCGCGUGCGGGAUGACGGCCUUCGGGUUGUAAACCGCUUUCGCCUGUGACGAAGCGUGAGUGACGGUAAUGGGUAAAGAAGCACCGGCUAACUACGUG
rnacentral:rRNA from 1 species